UUAAAAAUACAGUAAAAACAGUAAUAUUGUGAAAUAUUAUUACAGUUUAAAAUAACUGUUUUCUAUUUGAAUAUAUUUUACAAAGUAAUUUAAUCCUGUGAUGGCAAAGCUGAAUUUUCAGCAUCAUUAGUCUUCAGUGUCACAUGAUCCUUCAGAAAUCAUUAUAAUAUGCCGAUUUGCUGCUCAAGAAACAUUUGUUAUUAUUAUCAAUGUUGAAAACAGUUUGCAUCUGGUAGCAUCUCAGGUCGGCUGUCAUUCUGCGCCUGCGAAGAGCUCAUUGUAGCUGAUGGUGAGCUGAGUCCCAGACCCUCUUGCUCUCCCAGAACCAGUAGUCGACAGCUGGUACAUCCGAUGGUUCUCCUGACCAAGGGACGAGAGGGGGUUGAUAACCGAGUACGCACUGGAAGGGAGAGAGUCCAGUGGUUGGUUGGCGGAGGGAGUUCUGGGCGUACUCAGCCCAACCCAGAAACUGGUUCCAAGAUUUCUGGUGGCCAUGGCAGAAGGUAUGUAGGAAUCGGCUGAUCUCUUGGAUCUUCCUCUCCAUCUACCCGUUCGGUCAGACACAAUGUCCUCUGGAAUACCAUAGUAUCUGAAUAUGUGGUUGAACAUAAGUUCUGCAGUUUCCAUGGCUGUAGGUAGUCCCUUGAGGGGAAUCAGUCGACAGGACUUGGAGAACCUGUCAAUAACCACCAGGAUACAGGUAUUGUUGUCGGAGGCAGGCAGGUCGGUGAUGAAAUCCACUCCUAGGUGUGACCAGGGUCUGUUGGGAACGGGCAGAGGAUGUAGCUUGCCAGAUGGAAGAUGGCGAGGGCUCUUGGAGAUGGCGCAUUCCUGACAUCCCUGUAUGUACCUUCUCACAUCCCUAGCCAUGUUUGGCCACCAGAAGCGCCCCUUUAGCAGUGAGAGGGUUUCAUUGGACCCUGGCUGGCCAGUGCCCAGAGAUGUGUGGGAUGAAUGGAUGAAUGGAGUGCGCUGAGUCCUGCUGGGGGGCAGCCCGGCGGAGCGUUGGCAGAGGCAUUGGAGGAGGGCACGGAAGUUUCAGACCAGUGAAUGGGACUCACGAUAAUGUUCUCAGGGAGAAUAGGCUCAGGUUCUUCAUUGGUUUCCUCUGAGGUGUAUAGACGGGACAAGGCAUCUAUCUUCACAUUCUUGGGACCAGAAUGAUAGGAGAUACUGAAGUGGAAAUGUGUGAAGAACAACGCCCAACGAACUUGCCGUGGAUUUAAUCUCUUAGUAUCUCUUAAGUACUCCAAGUUCUUAUGGUCAGUGAGUACCGUAAAUGGGUGCUUGGCGCCCUCCAGCCAAUGCCUCCACUCUUCCAGGGCCAGUUUGAUGGCUAGAAGUUCCCUGAUGCCGACGUUGUAGUUCCUCUCCGCCGGGCUGAGUUUGUGGGAGAAGAAGGCACAUGGAUGGAGUCUGGCUGGAUUCCCCUGCUGCUGCGAGAGCACCGCUCCUACCCCUGUGGUAGAGGCGUCUACCUCAAUGACGAAGGGCUUCUCUGGAUCAGGGUGAAUGAGGAGCGGUGCGCUGGUGAAUGCUUCUUUCAGGGUGCUGAAGGCUUCGUUGGCCGCUGGUGACCAGGACAGAGACUAGGCUUGUUACGGAGGAGGUUUGUAAGAGGGUAUGCGAUGGAGCUGUAAUUCUGGAUGAAUCUUCUGUAGAAGUUUGCAAACUCGAGGAAUCUUUGGAGCUCUUUGAUGGUGGAUGGAGUGGGCCAGUUCUUUAUGGCUCCUACCUUCUCCUCGUCCAUUUGGAUGCUACUGCUGCUGAUGUUAUAUCCAAGGAACUGCACUAAAGGGUUGAUGGAAGGAGCACUUCUCGGCUUUGAGGAAUAGCUGGAACUCUCUCAUGAUCUGCUCCGGGAGUAGAUCAGUAUAUCAUCGAUGUAGACCAGGACGAACGUGUGGAGGAACUCCCGGAGCACCUCAUGGAUGAAAUCUUGGAAUACGGAGGGGGCGUUGACCAGGCCAUACGGCAUGACGCAAUAUUCAUAGUGUGCAGUAGGGGUCACAAAAGCUGUCUUUCACUUGUCCCCCUCACAUAUCCGGAUGAGGUUGUAUGCGCUGCGGAGGUCCAACUUUGUGAAGACAGUGACACCGCGUAGAUGUUCCAGAGCCACUGGGUCGAGGGGAAGAGGAUAGCGGAACUUCACAGUGAUUCUGUUGAGAGCCUGGUAAUCGAUACAAGGCUGCAAGCCUCCGUCCUUUUUGGCCACGAAGAAGAAGCUCGAAGCAGCAGGGGAAGUGGAAGGAUGGAUGUAGCCCUGAUGUAAUGCUUCCUCGAUGUACUCCUCCAUGGCUUUCUGCUCAGGGAUGGAUAACGGGUAAAUUUUCCCACGAGACACUGACUCACCCGGAAGCAGAUCGAUGGCACAGUCCCACGGCCGGUAUGGAGGCAGCUUGGAAGCUUUCUUCGGGCAGAAAACAUGACUGAAGGGGGCGUAACAAGGUGGAACAUCCACAGACUUUUUCCACUGGGCUCUCUAUGGAGGUAGAGCAGACAGGAAGCAUCUCAGAAUGAGGAGCAGGAGGCUGAGGAAUGAGAGGGAAACAGUUUGGGAUACAGGUGUCGUCCCACUUCAGGAUUUCGCCGGUGGCCCAAGAGAUAAUGGGAUUGUGCUGCUCCAACCAAGGGCGCCCUAGUAUCACAUCAGCGGUGGAAUCCUCCAGAACCAGGAGAUGUUGAUGUUCCACAUGCAGUAAUCCGACUUGGAGCAUGACUGGACCAGCACAUAACUGGACACGUUUACGACUGAGUGGUUUGCCUGUCACCGAAUGGAUUUGGUAGAUGGACGGCAUGGUUGUGGUCUUGAGUUUAAGAUGGCGGCAGAGGGCACCAAAGAUGAAGUUGCUGGCUGACCCGGAGUCGAGGAGAGCAUUGACUGGAAUGGAAACAUCGACAGUAGUAAGCAUUACAAUGGUAGAGAGUGGCUUCAUUUUCUUAAUGGAGAGAAUAAUGGCACUCACCAUGUGACGAGGAGGACGAAUGGGGCAUGUUGAGAUGACAUGCCCAGUAGCACCACAGUACAAACAUAAGCCCCCGGACAGCCACCUCUGCCGCUAAGAGAGUGUCAAUCUGUUAUUCUCCAGUUGCAUACGUUCUUGGCCUGGUUCUGGAGGGCUGAUGGAUCGUGAGAAUAGCGGUUGGCCCUGGUGUUCUUCUAGACACGACUGCAUACGAGUGGCGACUCUGAUGGAGAGCUGGAUGAAUCGUUCGAGGCCAAUGGUAUCCUCGUAUGCAGCGAGAUGCAGCCGUACCCUGGGAUCAAACCCUGACGAUAGGUGGUGAUUAACGAUUGCUUAUUCCAUCCGCUGGCAGCUGCAAGAGUCCUGAACUUGAGGGCAUAAUCAUUAACAGACUUUGAACACUGCAAGAGGAAGCCGUUGCAGUCCUCCGCCGAGCCAGAGAAGGGCGCUGGUUUGGCCAUGGGACUGGCGUACACCGGUGGUGAAGGAGUGACUGUGGUGGUGACGGAAGUGAUGGCUGGUGUGGAUGCAGGUGGAUUGGUGGUUUGCAGAUCGUGGAUGGCCGUUGACAGGAUGAACACACGAUGAAGGUGGGUACACACACACAGACAAGGAAGCACGGAGACUGGGAAAACACGCUGGAGUACAACAGUGAUGAGGUGCUGAUGGGGAACAGGUGUGUGUGUUUAGUACUCUGGUGAGAGAGUGCGCUGUGAUUGGCUGACGGUGGAGCCUGGCGUGUCUGUGACAAAGGGAAGGAAAGCCAAGGCUACCAUGUCAACCUCAUCAAGAAAUGGCACAAGAAAAUGCCUGAGGGGGAGAGGGCCUUGAUAGCAUGCAAGGUGUCCCCAAAAGAUGUGGGAGAUGACGACCAAGUGGAUGAUGAGGCUGUGAAACAUUCCCAAGCAGUGGAACGUUGCAAAGCGCUAAAUGGCUGUGAGGGAGAGCGGAUGCGCCAGACUCCGGAGUGUGGUGAUCUUCAAAUCGCGCCGCCACCAGCGUUCUAUCUAAGAUCAGGCAAAAAGUAAACAGGCCCAGGAAUCGGUGGUGAGUCAGGACCAUCUGAAGAGUGGCCAGGGGAGAACCUUGAAGAGGUUCUUGCUGACUACACUGACCUCUUCCGACUGGAGCCUGGGAGAACCAAGGUGCUGGAGCAUAUUAUUCAUCUGACUGACUCUAACCCUAUUCAGCAGAGGCCGUACCGUGUAUCAGAGAGCCUUGUCACCCCACUGAAAAAGAAGAUUUACCCUCUGGAGUCUGAGGCUGAUUUGGGUUCCUGGAGUAGUUUUGACAUGCCCUGACAUUUGUGCUUUUUUCAGUUGUUUAUAAACAUAUUAAUUACAAAAGUCUAAUUACACUGUAUUCAGCAGAAACUAGGCUACAAUAAUAUGUGAGCAACAAGUAUGUGCAUGUUUGUAUUUUUGAGAUAAUUAUUUAUAUGCAUGGUUUUUGGGGAAAAAAAAAAAUCACUGAAAUAAGACCUCAAAAUGCAUACUAAAUGUUUUUUCACAAGACUUUUGGGAAUUGUAUAUUUUAGUCUAGAGUUUUUGCUUCAAAAUGAUGUGGAAAUUAUCCUGCCUACUCAGACACAAAAAACAAUGUAUUGAUUUUAAAUUUCUAAGACUCUUUUUGUUUAGGAAGUCUGUAUGUGAAGAGGCGUGAAUCUUCAUGAAUAAUGCUGUGAUUCACACCUGAGGAGAUUAAGACCCUGCCCCUAAUGAGCCGCAUAAUGAGCCAUUCAGUCAGGAAUGUGACUGAGUCAACUAAGAAAGAAAGCAUGACAAAAGACAUAUAAUUUUUUUGUUUGAAGUUCAUUUAAAAUAUAGUUAACUAUAUAAAUGAGAGUCAAAGACAAAUUUUGAGUACACAGUUAUACCUGGAAAUAAAUCCUGUUCAAAGAUAUAUGUGAACAUCACAUACCUGGCAUUUGGUGUUUCUGCAAUGGAGGGAAAAAAAAAAAAAAGUCAGUGAUCUCAGUAUCAUAUGCAUGCAGUCCAGUGUUGACCAAUAUAAUUCUCAAAUCUGUGAGAUAAACCCUCUGUGAGCAUGCUGAUAACAGGAUCAUAUCAGCUAUUGUAUUAACGUUAAUAUAAUGUCCACUCUUAACAGAAAACAUGAUUUUUGUGAUCUUCUGCAUGCACGUAUUAUUGCACAUCAUGUGAAGAAAAUUUUGUAUAGGCCUAUAUUUUUAACUACCAGUCAAAAAUUGGAUGCAUUACUAUUUAUAAUGUUUUUGAAAGAAGUCACAUGCUCAUCAAGCCUGCAUUUAUUUGAUCAAAAAUACAGAAAAAAAAACAAAAACAAAAAAAACAGCAAUACUGUGAAAUAUUAUUACAAUUUAAAAUAAUAGUUUUUUAUUUUAAUAUACUUUAAAAUAUAAUGUAUUUCUGUGAUGCAAAGCGUCUAAACAUUCAUGUUACCUCUAUGGCAUUUUAUAUAUUAUAUUUGUUAUAUUAUAGAGCCUAAAUGUUGAAGGGUUAGUUCACCCAAAAAUGAAAAUUCUGUCAUUUGUUACUCACCCUCAUGCCGUUUUACACCCGUAAGACCUUCGUUAA